rnacentral:misc_RNA from 1 species
GAUGAAGAACGUAGCGAAAUGCGAUAAUUAAUGUGAAUUGCAGAAUUCCGUGAAUCAUCGAGUCUUUGAACGCACAUUGCGCCUCAUGGCAUUCCGUGAGGCAUGCCCAUCUCAGCGUUAGAAAAUAUUCUCAAAUUUUAGUUUUGUGCUAAAAUUUGGAUCAUGUCAAGGAAGCUAUUACUAUUAUUGUGAUCGCUCUUUGGAAAUUGAUAGGUCUUUGAGUUGCUACUCAUAGAACGUGAUGAAUCUUUCUUCGUUCUAUUGUAAUUCACUCUGGUAGUCCUAAAACUUGUAUACCUGUGGCAUAUCUUGUAAUUUGACCUGAGAUUGGGUAGGGAUACCCGCUGAACUUAAGCAUAUCAAUAAGCAGAGGA